CGGGGCUCCGCGGCGUGGAAAGUGUUGAGGAUGACGCCGUAGCACUUGGGCUCAGCGAUGGCGAGCUUUUCGACGAGUGAGGGAUUAUGGAGGACGUCGGGGAGGGUGUCGGUGUGGAAACGGAUGUUGUCUACGGUGAAGGUGGAGUCGGUGAAGGGGUACGGGAGGUGGUCCAAGACAUACAUGGAGAAAGCGCUGGGGCCGUGGAAGACGAGGCGGGGGAUGGAGAGGGAGGCGGCGAGGUCGGAGGUCCAGUGGAAGAGGGCGUCGGAGAGGAGGCAGUCCGGGCGGAGGGAGCGGAGGAGGGAGGCGAUGGAGGGUUCGAAGAGGGUGAGGGCGUUCAUGAAGGUGUGGAAGUGAGCG
rnacentral:misc_RNA from 1 species